rnacentral:lncRNA from 1 species
GGUGGAGAUGAAGUUCUUCAUGUUACAGAUUUAUUUUUCUUUUCCCCAUCUUAUGUAUUUAUUUUAUGCAAUGAUAAUAAAAAUUUUUCCCCCUAAAUUAUGUCUGUGUUGUGUUUUUUUGAAUAAAUUAAAUUUUUAACAAUUUAUUCUCAUAAGAAGAUGCUUCGUGAUCCUGACAAGAUACAGUUCAUACUUGAAUAGGAGAUAG